rnacentral:misc_RNA from 1 species
GAUGAAGAACGUAGCGAAAUGCGAUAAGUAAUGUGAAUUGCAGAAUUCAGUGAAUCAUCGAAUCUUUGAACGCACCUUGCGCCCUUUGGCCAAUCCGAAGGGCAUGCCUGUUUGAGUAUCAUGAACACCUCAACUCUUCAUGGUUUUCCGUGAUGAGCUUGGACUUUGGGGGUCUUGCUGGCCUAUGGUCAGCUCCUCUAAAAUAAAUCAGCUUGCCAGUGUUUGGUGGGUAUCACAGGUGUGAUAACUAUCUACGCUUGUGGUUUUCCACCAGGUAACCUUCAGCAGUGGAGGUUCGCUGGAGCUCACAGAUGUGUCUCUCCUCAGUGAGGACAGCUCUUUGAAUGUUUGAUCUCAAAUCAGGUAGGACUACCCGCUGAACUUAAGCAUAUCAAUAAGCGGAGGA